ACGGGUGCGUAACGCGUAUCCACCUGCCUCAUACUCGGGGAUAGCCUUGAAAAAUUAAUAUUAAUACCCGAUGUUGUUAUGUUACCGCUUGGUGAUAUAACCAAACAUUUCUCGGUAUUAGAUGGUGAUGCGUCCGAUUACGUACUAGGCGGGGUAACGGUCCCCCUACCCUUCGAUCGGAAGGGGUUCUGAGAGGAAGGCCCCCCACACUGGAACUGAGACACGGUCCAGACUCCUACGGGAGGCAGCGGUGAGGAAUAUUGGUCAAUGAACGAAGGUCUGAACAAGCCAAGUAUCGUGCUGGAUGACGGCCCUCUGGGUUGUAAACUGCUUUUAGUUGGGAAUAAAAAAGAGGACGUGUCCUCUAUUGUAUGUACCUUCGGAAAAAGGACCGGCUAAUUCCGUGCCAGCAUCCGCGGUAAUACGGAAGGUCCAGGCGUUAUCCGGAUUUAUUGGGUUUAAAGGGAGCGUACGCGGAUUAUUAAGUCAGUGGUGAAAGACCGUGGCUCAACCAUCGUUAGCCAUUGAAACUGGUAGUCUUGAGUGCAGACAGAGAUGCUGUAACUCUUGCUGUAGCGGUGAAAUGCUUAGAUAUCACGAUGAGACUCCGAUCGCGAAAGGCGGUGUCCUGGCUGCAACUGACGCUC
rnacentral:rRNA from 1 species